UAGUCCACGCCGUAAACGAUGGAUACUAGCUGUUUAUGGUUUUUCAUAGGAUCAUAAGUGGCCAAGCGAAAGUGAUAAGUAUCCCACCUGGGGAGUACGUUCGCAAGAAUGAAACUCAAAGGAAUUGACGGGGGCCCGCACAAGCGGUGGAGCAUGUGGUUUAAUUCGAUGAUACGCGAGGAACCUACCAGGGCUUAAAUGCAGUAUGACAGAUUUGGAAACAGGUUUUUCUUCGGACAUAUUGCAAGGUGCUGCAUGGUUGUCGUCAGCUCGUGCCGUGAGGUGUCAGGUUAAGUCCUAUAACGAGCGCAACCCCUAUUGCUAGUUGCCAGCGGAUAAUGCCGGGGACUCUAGUGAGACUGCCGGCGCAAACCGUGAGGAAGGUGGGGAUGACGUCAAAUCAUCACGGCCCUUACGUCCUGGGCCACACACGUGCUACAAUGGUAGGGACAGAGAGCAGCCACUUCGCGAGAAGGAGCGAAUCUACAAACCCUAUCAC
rnacentral:rRNA from 1 species